rnacentral:lncRNA from 1 species
AGACUCUGUCUCAAAAAAAAAAAAAAAAAAAAAAGAAAGAAAACAAAAUAUUUUUUCCCCAACACUUUUCAAAGAAUGGUUUAAAAGCAAUGACAAUCCAUGAUCAGUGAGAAUUCCCACCCAGAUUAUGGUCUCAAUUCCUUUUUCAAAGGGCAGUCAGGCUACUUGGAGACUUGGGUAAAUCUAUGGAUUUUAAUACAUUCAAGAGGAACAGCAAUCAAAUGCCAUAUUUGGAUCUGGUGGGAUCUCAUUCAGACAAAAUAUAAAAAUAUUUGAGACAAUUCAGGAUUUUCUUUCUUUAAGGGCUAGGUAUUGGAUAAUGUUACACAUCAUUUUUUAAAUUUUCUUAGGUGUAAAAUCUUAGCGUUUUUUCUUUAUAUCCAUAUCUGUUAGGAUAUUUGUGAAAAUAUUCAUGAUUAAAAUCACAUAUUUGGGAUUUCAUGUUUCAGAUAUUUUUUAGACUCCCUCAUCUGUCAGUGUGGGUGCGGAUAAUGAAACAAAAUGGGCAAGAUGUUGGUAAUUGUUGAAGCCUGUGCGACGAGACUUGGGAAGUGCAGGAUUCUCUAUAUUUUUGUGUAUAAUAUAAUAUAUGAUAUAUUAUAUAUAAUAUAAUAUAUGAUAUAUUAUAUAUAAUAUAAUAUAUGAUAUAUUAUAUAUAAUAUAUGAUAUAUAUAAUAAUAUAUGAUGUAUUAUAUAUAAUAAUAUAUGAUGUAUUAUAUAUAAUAUAAUAUAUGAUAUAUCAUAUAUGAUAUAUAAUAUAAUAUAUUAUAUAAUUAUU